UUGAAUUAAACAUAACAUUAGGUUUUUAUUAUAUAAGGUGAUCAAACAAUUGUCUACUUGUCACAUAAAAAGGUAGAACACAAUGGCUAAAACUCUUAAGGUUGUUUACACUGUGAUUCUUUUAGUGUCUCUAUUUCUUCUAUUAAUCGCCGCUAGUGCAAAGUAGUGUUGUAAGACACGCCGUGAUUGUAAAACAUAUCCAUGUCCUCCUUCUAAAGUCAAGGAUUGCAUUAAGGGUUAUUGUAAAUGUGUUAGGAAGAAUUAAGUGAUGACAAGAAAUCAAUGGAGCUUGUGGAAUAGAGAUCCUUCGAUGACUUGAAGCAUUAAGCAGUUGUGGUUAACUUACUUCCAAGAAGCAUUAUACAAUGGAAACUAAGAAGAUUUAUACAAUGGAAAAAAUAAGAGAUACAUAUAUCUCUAUCAAAAUAAUUAAAUAUAAAUACACUUUUAACUCUUUAAAAAUUUCAAUUGUUUGAUUUUUGAAUGA